rnacentral:rRNA from 1 species
GACGAACGCUGGCGGCGUGCUUAACACAUGCAAGUCGAACGGAAAGGCCCUGCUUUUGUGGGGUGCUCGAGUGGCGAACGGGUGAGUAACACGUGAGUAACCUGCCCUUGACUUUGGGAUAACUUCAGGAAACUGGGGCUAAUACCGGAUAGGAGCUCCUGCUGCAUGGUGGGGGUUGGAAAGUUUCGGCGGUUGGGGAUGGACUCGCGGCAUAUCAGCUUGUUGGUGGGGUAGUGGCUUACCAAGGCUUUGACGGGUAGCCGGCCUGAGAGGGUGACCGGCCACAUUGGGACUGAGAUACGGCCCAGACUCCUACGGGAGGCAGCAGUGGGGAAUAUUGCACAAUGGGCGGAAGCCUGAUGCAGCAACGCCGCGUGCGGGAUGACGGCCCUCGGGUUGUAAACCGCUUUCGCCUGUGACGAAGUGUGAGUGACGGUAAUGGGUAAAGAAGCACCGGCUAACUACGUG